CCUGACGUUGGGCAUGACAGCACAGCUUGGCCAGUGAUGCUGGAGGCAGCAGAGGAGCUUGUUAAUGAGCCUGUGCUAAUGGUGGCAGGGCAGGAGACGUCUGCCUUCCAGGCACGAGGGAAACCAACUGCUCUUAGAUUAACGCAAGAGUUUUUCUCUUAGCGUGGUUUCAAAGACGUCUUGGAUUUCCUCAGAAAGAUGAUCGAUCACACCAGAAAAUCACAAGGUGGAUUUGAGAGGGAAGAAGCUGGCGGUCUCAGACUAGAGUGAUAUUGCAAGAAUCAGUUUGACUCUGUGGUGCUUCAUAUGAGGCAUUAUGAAAGGACUGCAAUUACAUUGGAAAAAUGAUGAAUUUGAAUUUUUCAGGCACAGUCCUGACUCCUUCAAGAAAGCAGGAGCCCUAAGGAAGAAGGGUGCAAAGCAGUCUGCCUGCUUAAGAGGCUGGACACAGCUUGUUGGCUUGCGAAGGUGUGCAGCUCCUCGUGCACCCCAAAAAACCAGCAAGGGCUUUCUAAAUCUUUCCUUGCAGAGACACUGACUUAGCCCAGGGCUGUUCCGUGCUGUUCAGUUGAUUGAGGAAAACAGCAAGUAUUUACAAACAAAAGCUACAAGGGCAUUAUCCGGGGGCUAUUAAAAUGUGUGUAUUUCUAAUAUGCUGCAGACUGUAGAUUUCUUGCAAUUUCUUGUUUUCUAAUGAAUGCUUGUAGCCCAAAGCAGCAGUAAAAAAAUUACGUGA